rnacentral:siRNA from 1 species
UUAUAUGGUGGAUGUAUU